rnacentral:misc_RNA from 1 species
GGUUGAUGAGAGUGGGCGAGAGGAAGCUGUUGAAUCAGGUAGAAAAGUGGGAUGUGUUGUUACGAAGGUACUCUAUUUUGAACAAGUUCGUGUGCUUCAGAAGUCUGCAGAAUGGCCAGAGAUUUUCAAAUCCAUAGCAGUAGAGAGCUCAAAGCAAGAUAUAGUGUCACAGAUCGAAGAGGAUGAAGACUCAAGUGAUGAUGAUGGACU